AUUGAACGCUAGCGGGAGGCUUUACACAUGCAAGUCGAACGAGUGGCGGACGGGUGAGUAAUAUAUCGGAACGUGCCCAGUGGCGGGGGAUCACUACUCGAAAGAGUGGCUAAUACCGCAUACCAUUGGCGCUGCCGAUAUCGGAUUAGCUAGUUGGUGGGGUAAAGGCUCCCCAAGGCAACGAUCCGUAGCUGGUUUGAGAGGAGGACCAGCCACACUGGGACGGAGACACGGCCCAGAAUCCUACGGGAGGCAGCAGUGGGGAAUUUUGGACAAUGGGCGAAACCCUGAUCCAGCCAUGCCGCGUGUAUGAGAAGGCCGUCGGGUUGUAAAGUACUUUUAGCAGAGAAGCGGUACCUGCAGAAUAAGCACCGGCUAACUACGUGCCAGCAGCCGCGGUAAUAC
rnacentral:rRNA from 1 species